AUUGAACGCUGGCGGCAGGCCUAACACAUGCAAGUCGAGCGGAUGAAGGGAGCUUGCUCCUGGAUUCAGCGGCGGACGGGUGAGUAAUGCCUAGGAAUCUGCCUGGUAGUGGGGGAUAACGUCCGGAAACGGGCGCUAAUACCGCAUACGUCCUGAGGGAGAAAGUGGGGGAUCUUCGGACCUCACGCUAUCAGAUGAGCCUAGGUCGGAUUAGCUAGUUGGUGGGGUAAAGGCCUACCAAGGCGACGAUCCGUAACUGGUCUGAGAGGAUGAUCAGUCACACUGGAACUGAGACACGGUCCAGACUCCUACGGGAGGCAGCAGCGGGGAAUAUUGGACAAUGGGCGAAAGCCUGAUCCAGCCAUGCCGCGUGUGUGAAGAAGGUCUGCGGAUUGUAAAGCACUUUAAGUUGGGAGGAAGGGCAGUAAGUUAAUACCUUGCUGUUUGGACGUUACCAACAGAAUAAGCACCGGCUAACUUCGU
rnacentral:rRNA from 1 species